rnacentral:misc_RNA from 1 species
GUCUACGAUAAUAGUUAGUAAUAUCAACAUUCACAAUCACAAAAUGCACGCAUUAAUAAUCUACGAUGAUAUCAACAUUAUAUACUCUAAUUAGUACCAAGAACUUAAGAUCCUCCCAACUUCAAAAGAAAGAUAAGCAUCAAGGCAAGCAUAACAUACUUGAUUGACGCUAAGCCAACGAUCAUCCCAAUCGCUCAUCGUCACACUCUUCGGCUUGUAAAUCUCAAUUCCAACAAUUUCCUUCACUAAACCCUUAAGCCCAUAACUCCGAAGAUUCUCAUUCUCAAGCUCCUCCAUAGCCCACUGCCUCAAAUCAACAGUAUUCGACACUCCAAUUCCCCAAUCAUUCAACAAUUUCCUCACAUCAUUCUCAACCCCAACUCCAACAAAUCUGUAAUCGUCGUUAUUCAGGAAGUUACGGAGUUUCCAGGGAAUAUUUGGGGCAUGAAUGAUUUGGUAAAUCAAACAGGAUUUUCCGACGCAGAGUUGGAGUGUUGCAACCGGGUUUUGACCUGCACCAGGGUUGAAGUUCGGGCGCCAUUCAACGUCGAUUCCGACGAUUAAGCGGUGGAGACGGGAUUGGUUAGAGGAUUCGGUUCUGUCGAUCCAUGAACAGACCAUGGCCGGAUCACGAGUAACUAGGGUUUCGAUUUCGGUUUCGUUCAAAAAUACAUCAUAGAGUUUGUGACUGUUGUAAGGUAACUGGUAAUCUUUGAUCCUUACACUCAUGGCGUU